UACACACCGCCCGUCACACCAUGGGAGUUGGCUUUACCUGAAGACGGUGCGCUAACCGCAGGGGGAUAGCCGUCCAAGGUAUGACUGGUGAUUGGGGUG
rnacentral:rRNA from 1 species